AGUGAACGCUGGCGGUAUGCCUAACACAUGCAAGUCGAACGGCAGCACAGUAAGAGCUUGCUCUUACGGGUGGCGAGUGGCGGACGGGUGAGGAAUACAUCGGAAUCUACUUUUUCGUGGGGGAUAACGUAGGGAAACUUACGCUAAUACCGCAUACGACCUACGGGUGAAAGCAGGGGAUCUUCGGACCUUGCGCGAUUGAAUGAGCCGAUGUCGGAUUAGCUAGUUGGCGGGGUAAAGGCCCACCAAGGCGACGAUCCGUAGCUGGUCUGAGAGGAUGAUCAGCCACACUGGAACUGGGACACGGUCCAGACUCCUACGGGAGGCAGCAGUGGGGAAUAUUGGACAAUGGGCGGAAGCCUGAUCCAGCCAUACCGCGUGGGUGAAGAAGGCCUUCGGGUUGUAAAGCCCUUUUGUUGGGAAAGAAAAGCAGCCGGUUAAUACCCAGCUGUUCUGACGGUAACCAAAGAAUAAGCACCGGCUAACUUCGUG
rnacentral:rRNA from 1 species